rnacentral:rRNA from 1 species
UACGUAGGGGGCUAGCGUUGUCCGGAUUUAUUGGGCGUAAAGAGCGUGUAGGCGGCCAGGUAGGUCUGCUGUGAAAACUCGAGGCUCAACCUCGAGACGUCGGCGGAAACCAUCUGGCUAGAGUCCGGAAGAGGAGAGUGGAAUUCCUGGUGUAGCGGUGGAAUGCGCAGAUAUCAGGAAGAACACCCGUGGCGAAGGCGGCUCUCUGGAACGCAACUGACACUGAGACGCGAAAGCGUGGGGAGCAAACAGG